rnacentral:snoRNA from 1 species
AUGCAUCUAUUUGACAGACUUACAGCCGUUUAUCUGCUGCCAAGGUUUCCACUGCAGAGCAAGGGAAAAAAGUGUCCUUGCACUUUCUGAUUGUGGCAGCCCAGCUUGAAUGGGGGAACACAGGG